GCCUUUUUAUUCCUUUGACAUCUUGUAGGUAAACUGCAUUGACUUAUGAAAAGCUAAUUCAACUUUAGUGCAGUCCACUUGUAUUGGCCUAUCUUUUUUAAGAUUAUAUAUCCUUUUCCUUGCUUCUUUAGUCCACUAUUUCAUAAUGUAUAUCUUUUAGAAAUUCUAUUAGUACUCUUGAGGCUAAGAGCUUUUGGGGC
rnacentral:lncRNA from 1 species